rnacentral:rRNA from 1 species
CACAAGCGGUGGAGCAUGUGGUUUAAUUCGAUGAUACGCGAGGAACCUUACCUGGGCUCAAAUGUAUGUUGACGUAUUCUGAAAGGGAUACUUCUUCGGACAAUAUACAAGGUGCUGCAUGGUUGUCGUCAGCUCGUGCCGUGAGGUGUCGGGUUAAGUCCCAUAACGAGCGCAGCCCUAUCAUUAGUUGCCAUCAGGUCAAGCUGGGGACUCUAAUGAAACUGCCUACGCAAGUAGUGAGGAAGGUGGGGAUGACGUCAAAUCAGCACGGCCCUUACGUCCAGGGCUACACACGUGCUACAAUGGCCGGUACAAAGGGCAGCUACCUGGUGACAGGAUGCUAAUCUCAAAAGCCGGUCUCAGUUCGGAUCGGAGUCUGCAACCCGACCCCGUGAAGCUGGAAUCGCUAGUAAUCGCGCAUCAGCCAUGGCGCGGUGAAUACGUUCCCGGGCCUU